CUCUUAUCGAGAGUGGUGGAGGGAUGUGCCCUACGAAGCCCGGCAACCGUCUUAUAUAGAAAUGGUGCCAAUUCACAUAAAGUUUUAACUUUUGAAGAUGAGAG
rfam:Staphylococcus aureus subsp. aureus NCTC 8325, complete genome.